rnacentral:lncRNA from 1 species
CCAAACCUAAAAUUCUGAAAAAUUUAUGGAUGAAAUAUAUAUGAUUCUAUAUUCAGGGAAAAUUAACGGCAAGUGAUUUGGAGUCUUGUAGCUCCGAUUAUAAAUAAUUUAGUGACCAUUUCUCAGGAAAACAGCUCGUAGUGAAUAUGUGAUUUUGUUGUAAACAUGGAUAAAACUUGUUUUAGUUGCUCAUAAGCUAUUGAUUAAACCCAUACUUGAAUUCUAAAUCGUGAUAUUGUAAGUUUAUGAGUAUUCGAAUAUGAAAUGAUAGUAUGGCGUAAAAUUGAAUUACCCAUUGGAAAGUGAUGGAUGUAGAUUCGGCCAAGACCAAGUCUGUACAU